rnacentral:tRNA from 1 species
GCCUGGGUGGCACAGCGGUUGAGCGUCUGCCUUCGGCUCAGGGCGUGAUCCCGGCGUGUGGGAUCGAGCCCCACAUCAGGCU